AUGAAUUGAAGGUCUCUUCCAGCAUGGAAUGCCAUGAUCCUUACCCUCCCGUGUUCAGAUGCUCUGCACCAUCUUCUGGCUAACCUCACAUUUUCUAAAGAUUUCAGAAAGCUGCCUCUCUUCCAAUUACUCGCGCAGACAAGCCCAUUUUUGACAUGUCAUUUCUGAUGGAUUAGAUCUUUACAUAAGCACCUACUUGGUCCAGUGCUAUUAUCAGACCCAUUUUACAAAUGGGGAAACAGAUUGAAUGAAGUGACUUUCUCAGGAUCACAAGGAUGUUAAGGUCUGAGAAGGAGAGUGAUCACUAAGAUCCAAAGAGAUAAGAGAAGG
rnacentral:lncRNA from 1 species